rnacentral:rRNA from 1 species
UACGUAGGGGGCUAGCGUUGUCCGGAAUCAUUGGGCGUAAAGAGCGUGUAGGCGGCUUGGUAAGUCCGCUGUGAAAGUCCAGGGCUCAACCCUGGAGAGCCAGUGGAAACUGUCAAGCUAGAGUCCGGAAGAGGCGAGUGGAACUCCUGGUGUAGCGGUGAAAUGCGCAGAUAUCAGGAAGAACACCAAUGGCGAAGGCAGCUCGCUGGGACGGUACUGACGCUGAGACGCGAAAGCGUGGGGAGCAAACAGG